ensembl:lncRNA
GUGGGGCAGGGAGAUGUGGGGCAGGGAGAUGUGGGGCAGGGAGAUGUGGGGCAGGAUGUGGGGCAGGGAGAUGUGGGGCAGGGAGAUGUGGGGCAGGGAGAUGUGGGGCAGUUCUGCCCCCCAGAGUCACCAAAAACCCCCAAAAAUGGGUGAAAAUCCCACGGAAACGCGAAUUUUGGAGACGAUUUUGGCCGAUUUUGCUCCUUUUCGCCCCAAAUCUGGGAUUUCUGUGGGGCUCAGGGGUUACCUGGGGGACAGGUGAGCUCAGGUGGGACCCUGGCUGAGCCCAGGUGUCCCCAGGUGAGCCCAGGUGAGCCCAGGUGUAUCCCAGGUACCCCAGGUGUGCCCAGGUGACCCCAGGUACCCCAGGUGUCCCAGGUGUAUCUCAGGUCCCCAGGUGUAUCUCAGGUGUAUCUCAGGUGUAUCUCAGGUGUAUCUCAGGUGUCCCCAGGUGAGCCCAGGUGAGCCCAGGUGUAUCCCAGGUCCCCCAGGUGUCCCCAGGUGUAUCCCAGGUAUCUCAGGUGUGCCCAGGUGACCCCAGGUGUAUCUCAGGUGUAUCCCAGGUACCCCAGGUGUAUCCCAGGUAUCUCAGGUGUCCCCAGGUGUGCUCAGGUGUCCCCAGGUGUAUCUCAGGUGUCCCCAGGUGUCCCCAGGUGUAUCUCAGGUGUAUCCCAGGUAUCUCAGGUGUCCCCAGGUGUCCCCAGGUGUAUCUCAGGUAUCUCAGGUGUCCCCAGGUGUACCCCAGACUCACCUGGCAGGUAUCAGCCCCUCCUUUCGGGUCCCCGGCACACACCAUGUCCCCAGGUGUCCCCAGGUGUGUUCAGGUGUCUCUCAGGUGUACCCAGGUGUAUCACAGGUAUCUCAGGUGUCCCCAGGUGUACCCCAGACUCACCUGGCAGGUGUCGGCCCCGCCCCUCGGGUCCCCAGCACACACCAUGUCGUCCCGGAUCCUCCGCGGGGGCAGCGCCGGGCCCAGGUCGGUUCCGUAGAGGCGGCGACACAGAGAGAGCGGCAACAGCGGCACCUGCAGCUCCCGGAGCCGCCGGGGGCGCUCUGAGUGACCAGAGAGUGACCACUGAGUGACCAACUGACCACUGACCCACCCUGAGUGACCCCUGAGUGACCACUGAGUGACCACUGACCACACUGACCACACAGAGCCAGCGGCAACAGCGGCACCUGCAGCUCCCGGAGCCGCCGGGGGCGCUCUGAGUGACCAGAGUGACCACUGAGUGACCACUGACCCACCCUGAGUGACCACUGAGUGACCCCUGAGUGACCACUGACCCACCCUGAGUGACCACUGAGUGACCACUGACCACACAAAGAGAGCGGCAACAGCGGCACCUGCAGCUCCCGGAGCCGCCGGGGGCGCUCUGAGUGACCAGAGAGUGACCAACUGACCACUGAGUGACCACUGAGUGACCACUGAGUGACCACUGACCCACCCUGAGUGACCACUGACUGCACUGACCACACUGACCACUGACCAUUGAGUGACCCUGAGUGACCAACUGACCACUGAGUGACCAUUGACUGACCACUGAGU